rnacentral:lncRNA from 1 species
GUUUAUUUAGAUAAUUUUUGUUAGAUAAUUUGUUAGAUUUUUGUUAGAUAAUUAGGUUUGAACUUCUAUUACUUUCAGUUUAUUUUCUUUCUACUUCAAGUGAUUAUUAAUAAACUUUAUAAGAUAUAAUAUUUGGAGUUAUUGAUAUUAAUUUAAGUCUUAUAUUUUUGGCAAACCGAAGUCUGGAAUUUAGGACCCUUACUCCUUUCUAAGUGAGUAGAGUAGUUUUUAAAAUAGACAAAAGGACAGAUUAGCUUCAAGGCCAUAGCCUUUGGUCUAAGACUAUAAAGCUUUAGAAGCCCUUUACUUCCCACUGCUUCUGCUGUCUGUGCUGCUUUUCUCCUGCUGCUGCCUCCCACUGAUGAUAGCCCUCCCAAGAGUCUUUGGAAGCACCUUGUCUUUCCUGCACAGAAUGGAUAAGAAACUUGCUACUGCCCCAAAUCAAGAAAAUGAACUGUUUGGAGAAGGUGCCAUGGGGAUGCCUGCAGAAACAACACAUUUGCACCAAAAGAUUCAGAAUAAACUUUGGGAUAUAACUAAAUUGAACUGUGGGGGGUUGAUUGCAUUUAUUUCCAAUGUACACUCUUAUGCCAAAGGAGACUGCCCCCAAUUGGCUUUUUGUCAAUGAGCAUAGCAAUCAAUGGUUUUGUUCUCUUUCUCUCUUAUUUACCUCUUAUCCCCAAAUUAUUAUAAUUUCCCUUUAGAUAGUGUAAUAUUUUAUGUACCUCUAGUUAAAGAUCUUUAGAGAUAUAAGUUGGUCAUGUAUACUGAUUGCAUGGUAUAAAAAUGGAGAUUUGAACCCCAGAUUUCAAUCCCCAGAAGUCCUUGGUACUUCCCAGAAUUCCCUAUAUUCUCACCUGAGUCCCUACCUGGGCAAGAACACAAUUUGUAUUUAAACUGGCGGCAACACCUACUUCGGCCUCUCUCUUCCUCAACUUGAAACAUUGCAACAUGAGGUAAUCAGGCUGUGGAUGGGCUAAUCAGCCCUAAGCAUGUGGCUUAUUAAUUUGUAUCUUUGAUUUCUAAUAAACUUUAAUAAACUUCAUAAAAUAUAAUACUU